GAAAAAAGGAGCUAGGAGAAAUGUGUGAAACGUAUUUAAAAUAAAGCACAAGAGGCUCUGAAUGAAAAACAAGUAACGAGCUACAAUGACAAAAAAAGUAGUGAAAAAUGCAACCAUUACGAAUGGAACCAACAACGAGUGUUCAAUCAACUGAUCCAAAUGCAAAUCAAGACAAUUAUCAUUCUUGAAGAGCAAAACAAUGUAGCAAGAAGAAUCCACGGACAAGAAGAAGUUUAAGGGACAUAAUGAAUUCUGGCUGAAAAAGCAAACCACUUGCACUAACCUCAGAAGAAAUAUUUGGAAUGAGUCAUGGCUCCAUCUGACUUCUCUGAAUACAUGAACUUUUAAUCUUAAAUUCCAAGAGACUUGAUGUAUUUCAGAGCAUACUCUGCUGCACAUGGGACAAAGG
ensembl:lncRNA